AUUUUAAUUAGUUACAUAGUAUAUAUACAUGUAAUGAUCCAUAAUUCUUUCAACCCAAUCCUAACCAUAAUAAAUGACAUCCUCCAUCUGAAGCAUUAAAAUGGAAAGACAAUUUCACCAUCAAGUCUCUUGAGCAUUUCAUCAAACAUGUACAUUGCCAAGAAAAAUUAUGAGGUUGUGCUGAGAAAAUCCAAAUUUUUUUGGUGCGAUAUACAUCAAGCCCACCCUGCCCUUCCUCCUCGAGCGCCGCUGGCUGGUAAAUCCAUAACCAUCGCCGUUAGGUUCGAUAUAUAUUGAAGGAUGACAAGUUGUACGCUAGCCUAGCUAGCCUUUGAUGAAUUGUGA
rnacentral:lncRNA from 1 species